rnacentral:rRNA from 1 species
GACGAACGCUGGCGGCGUGCCUAAUACAUGCAAGUCGAACGAACUCUGGUAUUGAUUGGUGCUUGCAUCAUGAUUUACAUUUGAGUGAGUGGCGAACUGGUGAGUAACACGUGGGAAACCUGCCCAGAAGCGGGGGAUAACACCUGGAAACAGAUGCUAAUACCGCAUAACAACUUGGACCGCAUGGUCCGAGUUUGAAAGAUGGCUUCGGCUAUCACUUUCGGAUGGUCCCGCGGCGUAUUAGCUAGAUGGUGAGGUAACGGCUCACCAUGGCAAUGAUACGUAGCCGACCUGAGAGGGUAAUCGGCCACAUUGGGACUGAGACACGGCCCAAACUCCUACGGGAGGCAGCAGUAGGGAAUCUUCCACAAUGGACGAAAGUCUGAUGGAGCAACGCCGCGUGAGUGAAGAAGGGUUUCGGCUCGUAAAACUCUGUUGUUAAAGAAGAACAUAUCUGAGAGUAACUGUUCAGGUAUUGACGGUAUUUUACCAGAAAGCCACGGCUAACUACGUGCCAGCAGCCGCGGUAAUACGUAGGUGGCAAGCGUUGUCCGGAUUUAUUGGGCGUAAAGCGAGCGCAGGCGGUUUUUUAAGUCUGAUGUGAAAGCCUUCGGCUCAACCGAAGAAGUGCAUCGGAAACUGGGAAACUUGAGUGCAGAAGAGGACAGUGGAACUCCAUGUGUAGCGGUGAAAUGCGUAGAUAUAUGGAAGAACACCAGUGGCGAAGGCGGCUGUCUGGUCUGUAACUGACGCUGAGGCUCGAAAGUAUGGGUAGCAAACAGGAUUAGAUACCCUGGUAGUCCAUACCGUAAACGAUGAAUGCUAAGUGUUGGAGGGUUUCCGCCCUUCAGUGCUGCAGCUAACGCAUUAAGCAUUCCGCCUGGGGAGUACGGCCGCAAGGCUGAAACUCAAAGGAAUUGACGGGGGCCCGCACAAGCGGUGGAGCAUGUGGUUUAAUUCGAAGCUACGCGAAGAACCUUACCAGGUCUUGACAUACUAUGCAAAUCUAAGAGAUUAGACGUUCCCUUCGGGGACAUGGAUACAGGUGGUGCAUGGUUGUCGUCAGCUCGUGUCGUGAGAUGUUGGGUUAAGUCCCGCAACGAGCGCAACCCUUAUUAUCAGUUGCCAGCAUUAAGUUGGGCACUCUGGUGAGACUGCCGGUGACAAACCGGAGGAAGGUGGGGAUGACGUCAAAUCAUCAUGCCCCUUAUGACCUGGGCUACACACGUGCUACAAUGGAUGGUACAACGAGUUGCGAACUCGCGAGAGUAAGCUAAUCUCUUAAAGCCAUUCUCAGUUCGGAUUGUAGGCUGCAACUCGCCUACAUGAAGUCGGAAUCGCUAGUAAUCGCGGAUCAGCAUGCCGCGGUGAAUACGUUCCCGGGCCUUGUACACACCGCCCGUCACACCAUGAGAGUUUGUAACACCCAAAGUCGGUGGGGUAACCUUUUAGGAACCAGCCGCCUAAGGUGGGACAGAUGAUUAGGGUGAAG